rnacentral:rRNA from 1 species
AGUGGGGGAUAACGUCCCGAAAGGGACGCUAAUACCGCAUAACAUCCUGCCUUUGGAAAGGCGGAGAUCAAAGCCGGGGAUCGCAAGACCUGGCGCUUGGAGAGGGGCCCGCGUCUGAUU